GCAGCCGCGGUAAUACGGAGGAUGCGAGCGUUAUCCGGAUUUAUUGGGUUUAAAGGGAGCGUAGGUGGUUUGAUAAGCCAGCUGUGAAAUACUGCCGCUCAACGGCAGCCGUGCAGUUGGAACUGUCAGACUUGAGUGUACGGGAGGAAAGUGGAAUUCGUGGUGUAGCGGUGAAAUGUUUAGAUAUCACGAAGAACUCCGAUUGCGUAGGCAGCUUUCUACAGUACAACUGACACUGAUGCUCGAAAGUGCGGGUAUCGAACAGGAUUAGAUACCCC
rnacentral:rRNA from 1 species